CACCACCUCGCUCGCGGUCGAGGGCCGGUCGCAGACCGCGAUCGACGAGCACGACGCGAUCGUGCGCGCGAUCGAGGCGCGCGAUGGCGA
rnacentral:tRNA from 1 species